UCAAAAGCUUUAGAUAAUUCGCAGAAUAC
rnacentral:sRNA from 1 species